rnacentral:tRNA from 1 species
UGGGAAGUGGUGAAAAGAUCAUGGGUAGUUGUCAUUUAUCAGUUGCGAUUAAUCGCCUUCCCAU